rnacentral:rRNA from 1 species
ACAUGCAGUCGUAACANGGUAGCCGAGCAACCCGUGGUGGCGAGUGGCGAACGGGUGAGUAAUAUAUCGGAACGUGCCCUGGAGUGGGGGAUAACUAGUCGAAAGACUAGCUAAUACCGCAUACGAUCUACGGAUGAAAGUGGGGGAUCGCAAGACCUCAUGCUCGUGGAGCGGCCGAUAUCUGAUUAGCUAGUUGGUAGGGUAAAAGCCUACCAAGGCAUCGAUCAGUAGCUGGUCUGAGAGGACGACCAGCCACACUGGGACUGAGACACGGCCCAGACUCCUACGGGAGGCAGCAGUGGGGAAUUUUGGACAAUGGGGGCAACCCUGAUCCAGCAAUGCCGCGUGAGUGAAGAAGGCCUUCGGGUUGUAAAGCUCUUUUGUCAGGGAAGAAACGGUCCGGGCUAAUAUCCUGGGCUAAUGACGGUACCUGAAGAAUAAGCACCGGCUAACUACGUGCCAGCAGCCGCGGUAAUACGUAGGGUGCAAGCGUUAAUCGGAAUUACUGGGCGUAAAGCGUGCGCAGGCGGUUGUGCAAGACAGAUGUGAAAUCCCCGGGCUUAACCUGGGAAUUGCAUUUGUGACUGCACGGCUAGAGUGUGUCAGAGGGGGGUAGAAUUCCACGUGUAGCAGUGAAAUGCGUAGAGAUGUGGAGGAAUACCGAUGGCGAA